GAGGGGCUGCGUCGCUGUCGCCGACGACGGACUGAGCCGUGGGCUUGUUUCUCGACGGCAAGGGCUGGGAAGGCCGGUGGUGCCUCAGAGCCGCCGUGCCCAGCGGCGCGGGGGCGGCGGCAGCCGAGGCUCGCCCGGCUCCUCGGAGGGCGGAACGACCGUCAUGUGUCAAGCGCAGCCAAGGAAACCUUCCCGUCUCCUACCGGCAGCCCCUUCUCGCUUCCUCAACACGCCGAGAGGCGUGAGGGGGUGACCGGAGGCGGUGGGGCCUGGCCUUGGGGCGCCCGGCCUGGUGUCCCUCGGGCAGCCUGAGGCGAUUCCCGCCACAAGCCGCGGGGCUGCCGUGCCCGCCCCGCAUCUGGCAUCUCCCCUCCGCAGCCCUUCCUUCAGGAUACACGCGCAUGCCGAAUGCAGGCUGCAGGCUCAAAGUGACACCUUCAGUUAAAAAAUGUGUUCCAAAGAAGGGACAUUAACAUCGGCAGUAGGAUUCAACCUCAGAAACGCAUGCAAAUGCAUCGAGACCCUAUGAACGUGAUGUUAACAAGAGAAGCUGGAGUCAGAAUGGAGACACACAACCCUCCAAGCAAGCAAGCUCCCUGAUGAGACAGCGCUCUCAGAUGAGCAUCAAGACAGCUGAGCUCAUACAGUGGCAUUUCAGCAUGGAGGCAGUGUUUCACUGCUGUGCACGGCCAGCCCUGUAACACUGAAGAUGUGCCAGACUUGGAAAUAGAAGGGACCUUGUUCUGCUUCAACCUCAGCCGUGUCCAGCAUCACGCAGUGACACUUGGAGCUCUUCCAAGAGUGUGUGUCACAGGCCCUGCUAAAGCAGACACCAAAAUAGCAAAGCUACUGCACAGCUUUGUGCUUUAACAAAGCUACUCCCGAGCAUGCAUGUUUGGAAAGUUACUACUGAAUAAUGAAAGGACACUUGAAAACAUCUCUAUCCAAAUGAAAUGCAAGUUGCGGUGGCUUUUCCCACUGCUAAAUUUAAGUGAAGAAUAUAAUAGAAGUAGCAGAAGAUGAAAUUUUCUUCGGGAAAGUACAAAGGAAAAAAGGUAAACGGUAUCUAAUAGUCAUGACAUGCUUGUAAAGCUGUUUUAAACAACUACCCUGCUUCACUAAGCCUGACCAUACCUGUUCUUCUGUGUCACUCGCAGAAGCUACAACCAACAACCCCUAAAAAGAUCAGAAGGGACUGAAGAAACUCUUUGCUGAAAAGCAGCCAUGAGACUCCAGGUUCAGGGCCAACACGUUACCUGCUGCAGAAGUUUAUCUGGAAAUUACUAAGUUAGGUAAGUUAAAUACUGAUUAGGUAAUAGGGAAAAAGUGAUAAAAAUAGGUACAAAAACUCCUUCCAUAUCAGGAAUAGCAUAGAACUCCCAAGGCUGCAAAACACAUCAGAUGAUAGAAUAGACUUAUAAAAAUCACAGGUGACAGGAAGACAGUGAAUAGGGAACAGUUUUUCAGUGGUUCUUCCAAUGCAAAACCCGCAGCAAUGAAGGCAGUAGCAAGUUCAAAGAAGGGGAGAGGCAUUUUCACUUGACACACAGCUAAGGUGUGAAACAUUUUGCUACAAGAAUAAUGUUUACAAUUCCAAGUUCUCUACAACAAAUUAUUUAAGAAGGAACCUCUCAGGCACUGGUAAAUGCAACAAAAUGGACUGCAGGUCAGGAAGCCCCAAAGCAGAGCCUCACCUCUGUAGUCUGGGCUGUGUCACCUGAGCUGCUCUCACCCUCCUUUGCCAGUCACUAUUGCAAUGGCCUACAUCACCACAACACUGCACCAGAGGAGCUCUGAGUUUCAGCAGGUAUUUGGCCAUUCCUGUUUUCCAGCACAGCAGCCUUCCCUGCAGGCUCAUCACCUGAGAGCAGCGUUUGUGGGCCAUGGGGCUGCUUCAGUGGGCAGUGUGGUGAGCAGAGCACAGCACCACCACACAUCUGGGCUCCCUGUGUGGUGCAAGUCAGCUUGCCUGUGCUUUGAGUCCACCACAUUUCUAGAGAAAGCCAAGCUUCACCCUACUGCUAUGUUUAUUUAUAGUAAUUUGCUCAAACAUGGACUUUCACCAUUACAACAUAACAGCAUGAAUAUGCAAAUAGUAAAGCCCAGUCAAAAAGAAUAUUAGCAAGAUGCCAGGUACCUUAUCUCUCCUCUUCAGUUACAUCGUGACUUAUCACAGUUGGCAUUUCAAUACGGCUAGAGUAGCAGAUCUGGAUCUGAACAUUCAUAAGGAGAAGAUGCAGUUCACCAGCUUUGAUGUCAAUAGAAUGUCAGACUCUCUCCACUUCGUUCAGACUGAACUUAAUUGCAGGAACUGCAUUACUAGUCAACAUAAGCCAUCUGUUUAAACAUGUGUGUUUUGAAAAGAACUGCC